rnacentral:rRNA from 1 species
GAGUUUGAUCCUGGCUCAGGACGAACGCUGGCGGCGUGCCUAAUACAUGCAAGUCGAACGCACGAAGUUGAAGUAGCUUGCUCUUUAACCAAGUGAGUGGCGGACGGGUGAGUAACACGUGGGUAACCUGCCCAUUAGAGGGGGAUAACAUUCGGAAACGGAUGCUAAUACCGCAUAGUUUCAGGAAUCGCAUGAUUCUUGAAGGAAAGGUGGCUUCGGCUACCACUAAUGGAUGGACCCGCGGCGUAUUAGCUAGUUGGUGAGGUAAUGGCUCACCAAGGCAAUGAUACGUAGCCGACCUGAGAGGGUGAUCGGCCACACUGGGACUGAGACACGGCCCAGACUCCUACGGGAGGCAGCAGUAGGGAAUCUUCCGCAAUGGACGAAAGUCUGACGGAGCAACGCCGCGUGAGUGAAGAAGGUUUUCGGAUCGUAAAACUCUGUUGUUAAAGAAGAACAAGGAUGAGAGUAACUGCUCAUCCCCUGACGGUAUUUAACCAGAAAGCCACGGCUAACUACGUGCCAGCAGCCGCGGUAAUACGUAGGUGGCAAGCGUUGUCCGGAUUUAUUGGGCGUAAAGCGAGCACAGGCGGUUCUUUAAGUCUGAUGUGAAAGCCCCCGGCUCAACCGGGGAGGGUCAUUGGAAACUGGAGAACUUGAGUGCAGAAGAGGAGAGUGGAAUUCCACGUGUAGCGGUGAAAUGCGUAGAAAUGUGGAGGAACACCAGUGGCGAAGGCGACCCUCUGGUCUGUAACUGACGCUGAGCUCGAAAGCGUGGGGAGCAAACAGGAUUAGAUAC